rnacentral:lncRNA from 13 species
UGGGAGAGACUGGGAGGGGCUGGAGGGGACUGGGAGGGGAUUGGGAGGGACUGGGAAGGCACUGGGAGGGGCUGGAGGAAACUGGGAUGGACUGGGAGGGGUUUGAAGGGAAGUGGGAGGGACUGGGACAUACUGGGAGGGGUCGAGGUGGAACUGGGACCUACUGGGAAGGACUGGGGAGGGGUUCGGAGGGAACUGGGUUGUACUGGGAGGGGUCUGGGGGGAACUGGGACCUACUGGGAGGGGUUUGGGGGGGAACUGGGAGGUAGUGGGUUGUACUGGGCUGUACUGGGUUGUACUGGGAUGUACUGGGGGGUCUGGGUUGUACUGGGUUGUACUGGGAGGGGUUUGGGAGGUACUGGGAUGUACUGGGCUGCACUGCGAUGUACUGGGCUGUACUGGGUUAUACUGGGUUGUACUGGGAGGGGUCUGGACUGUACUGGAAGGGGUCUGGGAGGGGUCUGGAUUGUACUGGGAUGUACUGGGCUGUACUGGGAGGGGUCUGGGAGGGGUCUGGGUUGUACUGGGUUGUACUGGGGAGGGGUCUGGGCUGUACUGGGUUAUACUGGGCUGUACUGGGAGGGGUCUGGGCUGUACUGCGAGGGGUCUGGGAGGUACUGGGUUAUACUGGGUUGCACCGGGCUACACUGGGAGGGGUCUGGGCUAUACUGGGAGGGGUCUGGGAGGUACUGGGUUGUACUGGGCUGUACUGGGGAGGGGUCUGGGCUGUACUGGGUUGUACUGGGUUAUACUGGGUUAUACUGGGGAGGGGUCUGGGCUGUACUGGGCUGUACUGGGUUAUACUGGGUUAUACUGGGGAGGGGUCUGAGCUGUACUGGGGAGGGGUCUGGGUUGUACUGGAUAUACUGGGUUAUAUUGGGUUAUACUGGGAUGUACUGGGCUGUACUGGGUUAUACUGGGUUGCACUGGGUUAUAUUGGGAGGGGUCUGGGCUGUACUGGGUUAUACUGGGUUAUACUGGGGAGGGGUCUGGGCUGUACUGGGCUAUACUGGGCUGUACUGGGCUGCACUGGGGAGGGGUCUGGGCUAUACUGGGCUAUACUAGGUUAUACUGGGCUGUACUGGGCUAUACUGGGCUAUACUGGGCUGUACUGGGUUAUACUGGGGGGGUCCCUGAGCGCCCCUCCCCCCCCCAGCUCGUUCGUGUUCCGGCCGCAGCCGCCGGAGCUGCGGGAGCGCGGCGGGGCCCAGACCGGCGGCAUCGACUGUACUGGGCUGAACUGGGUUAUACUGGGCUAUACUGGGUUAUACUGGGCUAUACUGGGCUGUACUGGGUUAUACUGGGGGGGUCCCUGAGCGCCCCUCCCCCCCCCAGCUCGUUCGUGUUCCGGCCGCAGCCGCCGGAGCUGCGGGAGCGCGGCGGGGCCCAGACCGGCGGCAUCGACUGUACUGGGCUGAACUGGGUUAUACUGGGCUAUACUGGGUUAUACUGGGCUAUACUGGGCUGUACUGGGUUAUACUGGGGGGGUCCCUGAGCGCCCCUCCCCCCCCCAGCUCGUUCGUGUUCCGGCCGCAGCCGCCGGAGCUGCGGGAGCGCGGCGGGGCCCAGACCGGCGGCAUCGACUGUACUGGGCUGAACUGGGUUAUACUGGGCUAUACUGGGUUAUACUGGGCUAUACUGGGCUGUACUGGGUUAUACUGGGGGGGUCCCUGAGCGCCCCUCCCCCCCCCAGCUCGUUCGUGUUCCGGCCGCAGCCGCCGGAGCUGCGGGAGCGCGGCGGGGCCCAGACCGGCGGCAUCGACUGUACUGGGCUGAACUGGGUUAUACUGGGCUAUACUGGGUUAUACUGGGCUAUACUGGGCUGUACUGGGUUAUACUGGGGGGGUCCCUGAGCGCCCCUCCCCCCCCCAGCUCGUUCGUGUUCCGGCCGCAGCCGCCGGAGCUGCGGGAGCGCGGCGGGGCCCAGACCGGCGGCAUCGACUGUACUGGGCUGAACUGGGUUAUACUGGGCUAUACUGGGUUAUACUGGGCUAUACUGGGCUGUACUGGGUUAUACUGGGGGGGUCCCUGAGCGCCCCUCCCCCCCCCAGCUCGUUCGUGUUCCGGCCGCAGCCGCCGGAGCUGCGGGAGCGCGGCGGGGCCCAGACCGG